GACGAACGCUGGCGGCGUGCUUAACACAUGCAAGUCGAACGGAAAGGCCCUGCUUUUGUGGGGUGCUCGAGUGGCGAACGGGUGAGUAACACGUGAGUAACCUGCCCUUGACUUUGGGAUAACUUCAGGAAACUAGGGCUAAUACCGGAUAGGAGCUCCUGCUGCAUGGUGGGGGUUGGAAAGUUUCGGCGGUUGGGGAUGGACUCGCGGCUUAUCAGCUUGUUGGUGGGGUAGUGGCUUACCAAGGCUUUGACGGGUAGCCGGCCUGAGAGGGUGACCGGCCACAUUGGGACUGAGAUACGGCCCAGACUCCUACGGGAGGCAGCAGUGGGGAAUAUUGCACAAUGGGCGGAAGCCAGAUGCAGCAACGCCGCGUGCGGGAUGACGGCCUUCGGGUUGUAAACCGCUUUCGCCUGUGACGAAGCGUGAGUGACGGUAAUGGGUAAAGAAGCACCGGCUAACUACGUG
rnacentral:rRNA from 1 species